UGGGGAAUAUUGCACAAUGGAGGGAACUCUGAUGCAGCGACGCCGCGUGAACGAAUAAGGCUUUCGAUUCGUAAAGUUCUUUUAUAUGGGAAGAUAAUGACGGUACUAUCAGAAAAAGCCCAGGCUAACUACGUGCCAGCAGCCGCGGCAAUACGCAGGGGGCUAGCGUUGUCCGGAAUCAUUGGGCGUAAAGGGUUCGUAGGCGGAAAGGCAAGUCAGGUGUAAAAGGCAGUAGCUUAACUACUGUAAGCAUUUGAAACUGCAUAUCUUGCGAAUAACAGAAGUAAGUGGAAUUUUUUAUGUAGCCGAGAGAUUCGUAGAUAUUAAAAAGAAUACCGGAAGCGAAUGCAACUUGCUGGUCUCAUUCUAACGCUGAAAAACGAAAGCGUGAGUAGCAAGCAGU
rnacentral:rRNA from 1 species